AGUCAAACUUGACUUUGGCAUAGGAUGGACCCGCGUUGGAUUAGCUAGUUGGUGAGAUAACAGCCCACCAAGGCGACGAUCCAUAGCCGGCCUGAGAGGGUGAACGGCCACAUUGGGACUGAGACACGGCCCAAACUCCUACGGGAGGCAGCAGUGGGGAAUAUUGCACAAGGGGCGAAAGCCUGAUGCAGCAACGCCGCGUGAAGUAUAAAGGUCUUCGGAUGUAAACUUCUAUCAGCAGGGAAGAAUAAAUGA
rnacentral:rRNA from 1 species